UUAUCAAUGUUUUUAUUUAUAUAACCGUUCGCCGGCCAGUUUUUCGUAUAACUAUCUAAUAACAGUCGUAUAAAUCGUAAUAACCGUGUUAUUCGUGCAUGCCGCGCUGCUGAUCUAAAUUUAUAGUGGUGCAGUUUUAUCAAGCUUCUGUAGGUACUAUGCAUACACCUUGUUUCAAGUGAUAAAGGAAAUUAUUCGUUCUCGCUGUCUAUUAUUAUCAAAUGUCUGUAUGUAUAUACAUACAUCGUGCACUAAGUGUUCAAACUGAUUAAUUGUACUUGUACUAUUUGUUUUGUAAUAACAUUCGUGUCAAUAAGUUGCAUUUGUAUUUUUUAUUCCAUGGGGCAACGUUCGUACUGAUUAUCUAUUGCUGUUAAAAUAACUUCUAUCGAACCAUGCGUUCCACAAAAGUAAAUCUAUCAACUUCAUCUUAAUAUCCUAAAACCCGUCUUUAAGCAUCAAAUAAUGAUUUUAUGACAGCUCUUAGCGCUUUUUGUGAUGAAAUCUUAGAGUCUAACAAAGUCCUCUCGACUACUUUAACAACUAAUUUCGAUGAGCUUAGAAAUGACUUCAAGCAGUUAUCUGCAAUAGUCGCCGACCUCAGGAUGGAAAAUGAUAAGUUGCGGCUUAAUGCGAAUCAUCUAAAUAGUAAAAUGGUAACCCUCAAAUUGUCAGGACUGGCUGUGCAAUCCUCUUCUGUCAUUGCUUAAGUCAUGUAGGAGACUUUCGAACGUGAGAGAUGAUUUGGUAAUAUACUCGUAUAUAUUGUUACGAAAUCAUCUUAUUCUUCAUCUCAACGCGUCUCAGGUGAUAAAACUAAUUUUAUCAAUCUUCUUGAACCUCU